UACGUAGGGGCAAGCGUUGUCCGGAAUUACUGGGCGUAAAGCGCGUGUAGGUGGUGGGACAAGUCUGCUGUGAAAGCGCCUGGCUUAACCGGGCGAGGUCGGCGGAAACUGUUCGACUCGAGGACGGUAGAGGGGGUGGAAUUCCCGGUGUAGUGGUGAAAUGCGUAGAGAUCGGGAAGAACACCGAUAGCGAAGGCAGCUUACUGGGCUGUAACUGACGCUGAUGCACGAAAGUGUGGGAUCAAACAGG
rnacentral:rRNA from 1 species